AUGGCUGCUGCCGUGAGCUUUUCCCAUCAAAUGCACACCUGCCUCAUGCUCCUCUGCUACUCGAUAUGGUCUCUGCACCUGCCUUGCCCUACCUCCUCGCUUUAUUUCAACGCCAACUUUUCAGACCCCGAAGCCUAUUACCCCGGCUUGAGUUUCCAGGGUGAUGCCUACCUUGACGCUCAGUCUCGGACCAUCCAGCUAAGAAGAGCCGUUGAGAGCCCCAACAUCCAGAAUAGCGUAGGCCGAGCGUUCUGCUCGACGCCCGUGCCGUUGUGGGAUAACGCCACUGGCGAGCUUGCCCGUUUCACCACCUCCUUCACCUUCCGAAUCAAGGUAAACGGUACGAUCAGCGGCGAUGGCUUUGCUUUCUUCCUCGGAAACUAUCCUCCGAGCAGUCCAGAUCCCCUCGAAGACAGACAGAACCUAGGUCUCUACAACGGAAACGCCAGCACGGUCGCGACCGGCAAUGACCGAGCUGUGGCAGUUGAGUUCGACACCUUCUUGAACGUUGGCGUCGACACCAGCAACAGCCACAUGGGCAUCGACGUCAACUCCAUCAUUUCUCAGGCGUACACCAACGUUACCCUGGCUGGCAACAACCUAACAUCCGACCUUCCUAUGACUUGCCACAUAAUUUACGGCAACGAAUCAAAAACCCUAGCGGCUGUUCUCGAGGUCGGAGACACAACAUAUCGUGUCAACACCAGUGUUGACCUGAGGCUCAUGCCUAGUGUGGUGGCCAUCGGCUUCUCGGGUGCUACCGGUGAGGCGGACGAGUUACACCAAAUAAUUUCAUGGUCAUUUGACUCCACCUUGGACCUGCCCAGUGCCCCGGCGCCUGCAUGGAGGAGCACUAAGAGUCCACCGCCUGCACCGAAGACCCUACCCAAAGGACGGCUAGCAAAGGUAACUGGACCAAUUAUUGGAGUUAUUGCAAUUGUGUGCAUCUUUGUUGGCGUGCGUCGAUGGCAACUAUGCAUGAGAAAGAAGCGUCACAGAGCUCUCGCCGGGGGGCUUGGAGAUAUUGGUUAUCUUAAGUUGGCGCGUGCGACCAACGAAUUUGCAGAGGAAAACAAGCUCGGGCAAGGUGGUUCUGCCUCUGUUUAUCGGGGCCAACUAGCAAGUCCAAGUAGACCAGUGGCGAUAAAGAGAUUCAAGCUGGCAGAAUCAGGCGAGGAGAGGAAGGCAUUUGAGGACGAACUCAGGAUUGCCAGUCGGCUCAGGCACCGGAACCUUGUCGAAUUGAUAGGUUGGUGCUACGGUGGACAGAGGAACCUGGUUGAGCUUAUAUGCUGGUGGCAGGACGACAAGUACACCCGUCUCUUCCUUGUGUAUGAGCUUUUGCCACAAGGUAGCCUGGAUCAACACCUACACGGGGGCAAUAGUUGGUUACCAUGGUCCAAGAGGUACCAGAUCAUCCUCCACCUAGGCUCUGCACUGCAAUACCUCCACGUAGAUUGUGAGCAACACCAACAGUGCAUCGUACAUGGCGAUAUCAAGUCCAGCAACAUAUUGCUUGACGCUUCAUACAGUGCCAAGUUAUGUGACUUCGGAUUGGCAAGACUUGUUCACCAAGAAAGUGGGUCAAAGACCACAGACCUUGUGCAGGGCACCUACGGAUAUAUAGACCCUGUGUUCAUCGACACGAGCCAGCGGAACAGGCAGUCAGACAUAUACAGUUUUGGCAUUGUCCUACUAGAGAUAGUCUCUGGAAGGAACCCAACGGUGACUCUCCAUGAUACGCCUCCGUUGCCAUCAUGGGUAAGGAGUUUGUACUAG
rnacentral:rRNA from 1 species